GAGUUUUUUCUCAGAUAUGUGCACUCUAUCCAGGAACUCCUCGUAAGGAACUUCCGACAGAAAGAGAGUGGCUGGAAUGUAGCUCAAUUGCAAUAGCAACUUCUCGACUCUCUGCAUGACCAUGUAGAAAUGACAUUAUAUGAGUUGAAGUACAUGGCCAUUUCUAGACAAUACAGAGUUGUCCUAUCUGUGACGAAUUGGCUCGCUUGAACUGGAUCUUUGGGAUCAAAGGAAGAUCUCCAAUUGUUGAGAAUACCAGUUCUAUUUAUUAGAACAAAACCUUCGAUAUAAUCAAAGGAAUAUUUGGAGGAUAUCAGAUGCUCCUGGUCCUUGGAGAAUAUGGCAAAGUCUGAAUACAAGGGUAUAUUACCAUUUUUGGUGCUAAUUCUAGAGAUAUCCUCGCCCUUGUGAUGAUGCCGAACUGACCAAGGCCUCCAAGUACACUGUAAAACAAGUCUGAAUUCUCUUGCUCUGAACAGACUAGCUGUUUCUGAAAACAAUAUGUAUAAACAUAUAUUAAAAGGAGAGGAGCUGAUUGUCGGGUGAUUCCUAUUAAAAGCAAUGUAAGUUGUUUUGAAUGGUAUUGAUUCUGUUAUUUUCUUUUCUUUGAGAAAAGUCAAUUGACGAAGUGAAAUGAACUGAAGCAAGUUAAAAGGCACAGUGGUGAGUUGAAAUGGACCAUCUGGAAUUCCUUGGGGAUGUUGAUGUAUGCAAACUGGUCCAAAGUUUUAAAGGUAUUUGAUCAUUAUAGGUAAGGUGUCAUGUGGGUCCCUGAACAUGUGAUCGCCACAAGGAGCCACAGGUACAACAAUUUUCCUCACUCUCACCUUCUCUCUCGAUAUUAAAUUUUCAAGAAAACCAUAAUUUCCAUAGCUCCUAUAGGAGACAUGUUUAGUUCUGUACUUUACAUGCCUUGCAAUAUCUUACUCUCUCUCUCUCUCUACAUUAAGAAAUUUGAUUGGGAGAACAUUAGUUAGGACAGAAGUUAGAAUUUUGCUACGAAAUCUUUGCAUUCUUUCUGUAAGUGCAGGGUUUUCUUUUAUAGUAAUACCAUGUAGGAGGGAAAAUGGUUGGGAACAGAUGGGUAUGUGAGGUGAGGCAUAUAAAAUAAUGAAGCAGUAACAAAAUAGUACAAUUAUUGUUUAAGUUGUCUCUACUAGAGUCCCAGGGUUGUUGCAGAAGCUUUAAAGAAAACUCGGCAAAGACCUUGUGGUUAGAAAGCAACUUGGUCGUUCUACUAAGUUCUAUACAUGACAUCCUCUUUUCACAAGCUGCAUUGAUGUUGAUGUGCUUUGGCCUUUUGAAUGAUGAUAUAUCACAAUGACCUUUUGAUUGACAAUACCAUUUCAAAUAAACGAUUUCAUGAGAUGAUGACAUGAUAGUAAUGAUACUAAAACAGGCUUAGAAAUGUAGUUUUUUCUUCUAAGAAGCUUUAAUUCCAUAAGGGAGUUUUAAUUUUAGGACAGCAUUUAAUUCCUUGUAUGUGUUAUUAUUAAUGCUCUUUUUCUCUUAGUCCCUACAUCUUUGUAAAGAAAAGAUUCACCUUUUUAAUAUUGGAUCUCUCAGAGAUUGGACUCUGCCUCUGUGGCCCUUCCUCAAUAAUGCAACCUUUGUCAAUGAGUAUCAAAUCUUGUCAUGGGGUAGAUGCUUCUUUCGAUGCCUCAUAUUUCAUAGUAUCAAGAUUUUAUACUCAUUUUUCAUAGUUUGCUUGAUUUUAUUUUUUUCUAAAAUCCAAAUUUAUUUAUUAAUGUUAUAAAUAGGAAAAAAAUACCUUUUGUUGUCCCAAUGAUUUAGUCUUUAUUUGUUCCUUAGAUUUCAAAUGCUACACAUUUAGAUUGACCUAUUCAGCCCACAAACUUCUUGAGUUGGCCAAUUCAAUAGUAAACAUCGUUGAAGUUUUCACAUUUAUCACUCCGUAAUUUGAUAUUUUAAUCUUUUUCUAUCUGUAUUUUGAAAUUUCUUCUUCUCAUCUAUAUACUUUUCAUAUUUAUUUUUAUUGGGUAAUUUUUCCCUUUUGUUUUACUUUACCAAUAUUAAGUGAGAUUUUAUAAGUGUAACUUUUGGACCCAAAUGAAACAAAUUUCUAAUUUCAAGAGUAAAAUUCGUAAUGCUCUUGAAGUUUGGGUAAAAUUUUGAAAGUUAGAGAUUAAAUUGAAGUUAAAUUAAAAACUUGAAAGGACCACAUAAAAAGUAAAUUCAAAAUGAUAUUUCGGAAUUAAAGUAGAUAUAAGCAAUUCCAUAAUGUUUGAAUAUAUGUCCAUCACUCUCAUGUAUUUCUCCAAGAAAUUCUGCAAGGCAUUAUGAUCUUACAAUGUAUAUACACAGUUGGGCAGGAUCUUACUUUCUUGAUCUCUACUUGCUCUAUGAUUGCUUCUGUUGGGAUUUUCUUCUUGUUUUUCCUUUAGUUUUGUAACAUGUUACAACCGAGCAAGAUCCUCUGCUCUUUUUAUUUGAUAAAGUGUACAGUUUUGUUUUUAUUUCUUUUGUAUAUGACAGAUUGCAUUAUAUAUUUCGUGAGGUCAUUUAUUGGAGGGAUAAAGAAUAAAAUCCCAAUCAUGGCAUGGUUGGAUGAGUGCGUUUGGAUUGGUUGAGACACAAAUCUAAAUUUACCAUUUAGAUUACUCAUCAAGUUUACUGCUUUCUUUAUAUUUAGAUUACAUUAUCAGGUAUCCUGUUCUCUCUUUAAAUUUAUUUUUUUAUAAUUUGACUCAAAUAUUAACUCUCAAUAUACUUUAUGAAAAUUGUACCUUUGAUAUCUACUUGACAAGAUUAAAACAAAAUGUGGCCUAUCACUUCAAUACUUAUUUUAACUAGUCUUGCUUGUGUCAUCGCUGUCGGAGUAAAGUAAUGGAAUCGACCCAAUCGACCUGUUGGGUAUGUGUGUUGGUACUUAAAUUGCAAUUUCAUUAUUGUUGGGUUCAAACCUCUCAAUUUCAUAGCAAUAAUAAGCAGAAAAAAUAACAUAGAAACUAAAGGAAUUAGAAUGCACAUGAAAAUAUCUCAUACUGGAGAAAAAUAUUACUAUGUAAAAAAUUGUUACAUUCACAUUAGAUUUUUUUGCUUCCUGUUUUCAAUUAACAACAUAAAAGUUUUGACUACUACCAUCUUUUUUAUUCUUAAAUUAAAAAUAGCUUAAUCGAUUAAAUAGGUUAUUUACGUAGGUUUGGAGUCAUUCACCUUCCUACGAAAUAUUUAUGUGGGAGUUACACAUUCUACAUCUUGUCAUGUCGAAUUCAACACAUUCUCUCUUGGCAAGAUGUUUGAAGAAUUCACAACAAUUAACUCAUAGAAUCAUAAAUUAUCCACCAUAGAAAGUAAACUACUAGGAGUACCACAUUUCAAGAAUUUUUCUUUUUCCUUGCACAUGGAUAAGACUUGCUGAAAUUUAUAUAGUGCAAUUUUCACUUGCUUGACUUUACUUGGAAGUCCUUCAACCAUUAUCAUAAUUUUUACCAUACACUUUGUAUAACUAUCAGGUCGACUUCACCUCUUUUAUCAUGGUUAAGGGGACGUUUAUGGCGAUGGAGACAACAUUACAUCCAACUCAGAACCCUUUGACAAAUCUACUCUAUUUGGACAGUUUUUUCUCAUGUGUUCAUAUUGUCUCUAAUUUCAGCAAAUUAAACUAUAUUUUGUAUGAACUUUUCCUUCUUCCA